GACGAACGCUGGCGGCGUACUUAACACAUGCAAGUCGAACGGAAAGGCCCUGCUUUUGUGGGGUGCUCGAGUGGCGAACGGGUGAGUAACACGUGAGUAACCUGCCCUUGACUUUGGGAUAACUUCAGGAAACUGGGGCUAAUACCGGAUAGGAGCUCCUGCUGCAUGGUGGGGGUUGGAAAGUUUCGGCGGUUGGGGAUGGACUCGCGGCUUAUCAGCUUGUUGGUGGGGUAGUGGCUUACCAAGGCUUUGACGGGUAGCCGGCCUGAGAGGGUGACCGGCCACAUUGGGACUGAGAUACGGCCCAGACUCCUACGGGAGGCAGCAGUGGGGAAUAUUGCACAAUGGGCGGAAGCCUGAUGCAGCAACGCCGCGUGCGGAAUGACGGCCUUCGGGUUGUAAACCGCUUUCGCCUGUGACGAAGCGUGAGUGACGGUAAUGGGUAAAGAAGCACCGGCUAACUACGUG
rnacentral:rRNA from 1 species